rnacentral:rRNA from 1 species
UACGAAGGGGGCUAGCGUUGCUCGGAAUCACUGGGCGUAAGGGGUGCGUAGGCGGGUCUUUAAGUCAGGGGUGAAAUCCUGGAGCUCAACUCCAGAACUGCCUUUGAUACUGAAGAUCUUGAGUUCGGGAGAGGUGAGUGGAACUGCGAGUGUAGAGGUGAAAUUCGUAGAUAUUCGCAAGAACACCAGUGGCGAAGGCGGCUCACUGGCCCGAUACUGACGCUGAGGUGCGAAAGCGUGGGGAGCAAACAGG